CAAACAGCCGCGCUGCAUUAUGGGCAUGAGCCAGCCACUCAGACUUGAUAGACACUGUAAGUAGCCACUUAGCUGCCAAACAAAGCAUUCCGGAAGUCGCUAGUUCUAACGCUAGCCAAUCAGAAUACAAAGAAGAGCAGUUGCCAGGCGACGAAACGUGGCGUGUAAUAGGACAAGAAAAAGUCACGCGCUUCGCGUUCCUACGCCCGCCCAUCACAGAAACAUUUUAGACCCGCUGCGCAACCAAUCCGAGACGUCACAGAAGCAGGACGGUGCAACCAAUCGGAGCGGGACUAGGAGCAACGUCAAGGAAGCAGGUCCCACUAAUGGCGGAAGCUGACAGGUAGAGAGUCCCAGUGACAUCCCAUUCUAUUACUGAGCUGGGAAGCGAGAGACACGCCCUCUUCCGGUGACGCUGUGCUGACUGCUGCGCAUGUGUGUAGUGCGAGUCAUUAGUAUGAGGGGCGGUGCUUGGAGUCAGUACAAAGGUCGCUUUCCAGUCAUUCGCUUGGGAAUGUUCCUUCUCUCUUUGUACAAAGUGACCAAUUGCACAGAAGCAUCUCAUGGCCCCAUGGGUCGGAUAUUAAGCUCCAGUGACAGGAUUAUUAGUUGUGAUGAUGGUGAAUAAUCAGCAGGGAGGUGGCGCUAUACACUCACGCUCUGAUUGGCUGGAGGAUCCAGUGAUGCCCCUCCCCCGCUGCUUAUUUCAUAACUGACUGAUCCCUCCCACUACUCAUGGACUUUACACUAUUUGUCACCUGAUCAGCAUCAGCCAAUGGGGACCCUGCCUCCAGGCCUCCUGACUAUGGGUUUCCUGCAAGAAUAACACAGACUGGAACAAACCAUGAACUGAGAUCCGGUGUCUCUGACCCCACACACGAUGGUACAACUGGAACUAACCCUGGAACCAGACUCAGCGCAGAGUAUACAGGGAGUGGAUCUAUUAUCUGGAAACCCAGCUGCCAGAAAAUGUCAUUACCCAGUGUGUCCUAUUACUGGCUGCUUUGCUUUUCCCUGGUAAAUGGGUCAGUAGCGAGUCAUUCACUAACAACAACCCAUGUUAAAGGCACAGUGUUCCACAUUAUUACAGGGUGGGGGCAUUUUAGAUAAUAGAUCCUGGCCCUGUAUCUACAUCUGAAGGGAUAAGUUAAUAAUGUUAAUAUUCCUGUAUUCUCCAAUGACCUAACUCUCAUACAACUGAAAUCAUUUUUACUAAAUAAAUACUGUGAUCAGC